CUGCGCACACCAUGGCCCCGAGCCCUGGCUCACCCCAAAGGCCCAGAAGCCGAAGAUGAUGAUGAUGAAGUCGACGACAUCAGCCAGGAACAUGAGGGCGUACACGUCAGUGGCCGCACGGUACUUGGUGUGCAAAAUGUCGUGGAAGAAACGCUGCAGGGGCUGGUACACACUCUGGGCCCUGCGGGUGUGUUGGGUGGUGGUCAGCUUGGCGCUCGCCUCUGUGCCUCCCACCUGCCCCACGGCCCCUGGCCGCUCCCAGGCUGGAUCACUCACAGGAACAGGCAGAAGCUCUGCAGCCGGAGCCCGGCCUCCCUCACUCUUUCCCUGGGGUGGCUCUGCCUCUUCUCUCUCCCUGUGGCUGCUGCUUUCUCCUUCUCCUGUUCCCCAUCCUCGGCUUCUUGGUUGCCAGGCCUUUGGGCCCUGUGCUCUCCUUCCUCCUCCUCCUAAAACGCAGACUGAUGCGCCUCUUGUCGCGGGGCUUGAGGUCCACUGGGGACUCUGGGGGCCCGUCACUCACUGCCACCUGGAUGUCGUCCUCGAUGGGGGCCACAGCCACCCCUGGCUCCUCCUGGGGCCCCGUGCCCACCUCAGUCUGGAGUCCCAGCAGGGCCGGCUCCUCCUCAGCCCCCUUCUUCCCACUGCCCCUGUCAUGGUCCUUGGACAGCGGCUCCUCCUCGUGGUCCCAGAGGCCGUAGCACUGU
rnacentral:lncRNA from 1 species